rnacentral:rRNA from 1 species
UACGGAGGGCGCGAGCGUUUGUCCGGAAUCACUGGGCGUAAAGGGCGCGUAGGCGGCCCUGGUAAGUCUGCGGUGAAAGCCCCGGGGCUCAACCCCCGGGUCGGCCGCGGGGUACUGCCGGGCUGGAGUGCCGUAGGGGGCAGGCGGGAAUUCCGGGUGUAGCGGUGGAAUGCGUAGAGAUCCGGAAGAACACCGGUGGCGAAGGCGGCCUGCUGGGGCGGCGACUGACGCUGAGGCGCGGACAGCGUGGGGGAGCAAACAGGGA